CUGAGUUCGUGCCCCUCGGGGUAGACCUCCAACCCAGUGUCUCUGUACCUCUGUUGCUUUGGUAGGCCGCCGGGCGUUGCCUGGCUCCCGGCUCCGGCUGGGGAGUGCCUACCAGAGGACCCUAAAACCUGAAUGUUAGUGUCGUCUGAGUACUAUACAAUAGUUA
rnacentral:misc_RNA from 1 species